rnacentral:snRNA from 1 species
GUGCUUGCUUCAGCAGCACAUAAACUAAAAUUGGAAUGAUACAGAGAAGAUUAGCAUGGUCUCUCUGCAAGGAUGACAGGCAAAUUUGUGAAGAGUUCCAUUUAAAA